rnacentral:misc_RNA from 1 species
UUAAGUUCAGCGGGUAGUCUCACCCGAUUUGAGGUCAAGGUCUUUUCUUUUUGUGGGUCCAGCCUCCCCCGCCAAUGUAGAUUGGCCGGUGACCGAAACACCAUCGUUGUCUCGAGAGACAGUUAAAAGCAGGCAUCCAAGGAACAGUGCCAAAUCCAAAACGUAGAAACAUCUUAUCACGUCAAGGACCAGCAAAGCAG